UAAAUGAAUUUUUUGCCUCCAUUUUCAGCCGCCCACUGUAUCGAAGGACAAAAAGCUGAGGACUUUGAAGUCACCAUAGGAAUGUACAACAAGACUGUGUGGAAUUCUACUGACAUUCAGAUUAAAAAACCCAGCAGGCUGAAAAUUCAUCCAAAGUACUCGAGAGGGAAGUUCCACUACGACGUCGGUCUCAUGAUUUUUGAAAAAGGAUUUGAACUGACUGAUCACGUACGCCCGAUUUGUCUGUGGAACGAAGACACCAAUCUUGACGCCGUCGCCGGAAGGAACGCUUUGGUGGCUGGCUACGGAUAUUUUAAGAAUUACUCUCACCCUGAGACGCUUCAAGAGGCUGAAAUACCGAUAAGAUCCCACUUGGAGUGCGCGCUACCAUAGUCUGAGAAAAUUUUACGGAGCGCGAUUGAAGCCUGGAGACAAUUUUUGCGCUGGUUAUACAAACGGCACAACCGUGUGCAACGGAGACAGUGGCAGCAGCCUCUCACUCGAAAAAGACGGAAGGUGGUUUAUUAGAGGCAUUGUCAGCUUUGCCAAAUCAAAAAAAGUCCAAAUUGAUGACGCAGAAGCCAAAGUGUGCGAUCCUGACGCUUUUCCUUUGUUCUCUGACGUGGCUUAUUACAUCGAUUGGAUUGUGGAAUUCUCCCCUGACAUCAAUUUCGACUAUUUUCGGGACUAUUUUCGGCCAUAAUUUACCGAAUGACUAUAAAUAAUUUUUGUAACUGGUUAGUUAUGAAUGAAAUAGUUUUGUGCAAUUAGAAAACUAAUGGAGUUUUUCUCAUACUAAUAAAUACACCGUUUUCUGAAUUUCAACCACUGAAAAUGAAUAAAUUCUCUUUGGUUAGAUUAAAGCA